GACAGAGGGUGCAACCGUUGUUCGGAAUUACUGGGCGUAAAGCGCGUGUAGGCAGCUCGGCAAGUCGGGUGUGAAAGCCCUGGGCUUAACCCAGGAAGUGCACUCGAAACUUCCAAGCUUGAGUUCUGGAGAGGAAGGCGGAAUUCUCGGUGUAGAGGUGAAAUUCGUAGAUAUCGAGAGGAACACCGGUGGCGAAGGCGGCCUUCUGGACAGUGACUGACGCUGAGACGCGAAAGCGUGGGGAGCAAACAGG
rnacentral:rRNA from 1 species